UGGUUGUUGAGUUGAACGAGAUCCAGAAGAGGCUGAGCUUUUGGAACGGGGCAGGUCUGCGCCGUUUACUUUCUCUGUCUGGCGGUCGGCGCAGCUGCUUGCGGCAGCCAAAGAGAGCUGCGCACUUGGACUAGAAUCCUAGCCUCUGAUUGGUCGCGGCGACGGCGGACCGUGGCAUUCUAAAGGCCCCUCACUUCCGCUCGGCAGCCACUGUGCGUAUUUGCAUAUUAACACAGGCUUCGUCCAAUCAAGAGCGGGGCCGGCCGAAGUUGAAACACGCGGUGCAAGAUAGGUUAGAGACCUCAAAGCAAUUUUCACCCCGAUGAUUUUAUUUCUAUGAAAGCGGCAAAGGCCAACACAAUAAACAGGGACUGGUGACACAACUUCAACUAGAAAGGGAAGGAUAUGAACAAAUCUGAAAUAAUAAUAGGAAACACUAAACCUGGCUUCUGUUUAUUCAUCAUAAUUAAAUUCUGGUGACCUUUGUAACAUUUUCCUUAUCGUGGCAUAUCAGCAGAUCAUGGCAAAGCCAGAACCCUUGACCAGACGAUCCAACAGCCAUUUUAAGAGAGAGAGCGGCAAAUCAAACCGCUUCCACAAGCCACAUUAUGGCACUCAUCCAGGCCACUUGAGCCCAUAGUCACAGAUCUACAGCUAAGAUAGUUCAUAGAUCAUAUCACCAAAUGCAUUGUCACACUGUCUUUUAAACCACCAUGAGGCGGCGGUAAAGGACUCACGUGAUUGUGCGCAAUCCAUAUAUCUGAUGGUGUAGCCUAACUGAGAAAUGAAGCCAAAAAUAACGGCCUCACACAUCUGAAUUAAAUAAUUCACAUCUUCCUUUUCACGUGUUCGGAAAAAAAAUCAAAUCAAAGUAGCUUACAUUGCAUUCAUAAAUUAGUAUUUAGCCAGGCCCGUAGGCCUGCAAGACGAAGAGUUUGCCAUUAUGUAGAAAACAAAGCAGAGUGCGCAGAGUGUUUUUUUUCUCUCUGAUUACAGCUUAUUCUGGAUCGCACCAGGGUCAGGUCCAUUUCAUUCAUGAUCCGUGGAAGUCUCAAAAACAGGACUUCCUUAUGUAUAUUUGUAUAUGUUUGCAAAAAAUAGAGUUAGGACUAGGGACACAAAAGCAGUGUGUAUUUAUCGUGUUUUCCUUACUAUAAUUGAGACUGUGGACUUCACUAAUAUCAUUACAUCACACCUUUAACGAAUAAAUCAGCAUACAUCAACAAGAAACUGUCACGACUCAAUUACAUCGUUAAAAGACACUAUGUUGUGGCAAACACAACACUCACGUUCAAUUGCGCAGAACCUGUCUCACACGCAAGGACAUGUGCACUCUCACACACACGCUCUCACACGAAUGAUUCACAUGAGUUUCCAUGCACACAGGCAAGUGAACUCACAUCUAUCAAUUCAGAUACAUGUCGUACGAGUUAGGCUUCAUGUGUGAUUUAUAAAAUAGCAUGAGACAAACAGGACGCUUUUGCGAUUGUUGGAGCAUAAAUCAGUCAAACCGGUCAGGACUAAACACGAGUUCGACGCCCGCACCAAGCAUUCGCCUUUUAUAAUAAGUGAGCGGUCACGUUUAUUCUUCUCGUUUAGGCAGUGGUCCGACUUAGGUCGAUAGCAAAUGCCAAGAAUUAGCUUUCAAAAGGUGAAACAAAAAGGCUUUUGGAAGCUGCUUCGUUGGGAGGUGGGGUAGGCUGCGUGGCACCUAAAUAAGACCUGCUCCCAAAGUUGCACAACAGUACCCUACUUCUAAGGCGUAUUCUCCGGCGAGCUAAUCGAAGGUUAAACGCAAACAAAGCGGUCAUCGAAAUGAGCUGGAUGUGAACGUUUCAACACGUUUAUUUCCGAAUUUCGGGAGGAAAUGUAGCCUGUUUUAUAAAUAUUUAUGCGAGGCUUAUUUGACGACCUUUUCGACUUUGGGAAACGUGACAUUAAGUCAGGAGAACUUCAGCCACCGACACCACCGCACAGAAGACUGUUUUAGGUGUCGGACGCCAGAGGAUAAGCCAGUUUUUUGACUGUUGUCACUUUACCGUAAUAGCAAACAAGGGCGUAGGAAGCAGGGGAGAUGAGGGGUAUUGGACUUCCCCAAUAUUUCCAAGAGGCAUUUUGUCUCCCCAAUAACAUACCUGAAUUUGUUUAAUUAUUAAUUACUCUUAGUGAAUAGCAAAUCAAGUGGGUUCCUGUGUCCCCCUUCUAUACUGACCUCUUCCCCACGCCCUGGGUUUCAUAAAUAUUAUGUGCUGUGGUGGUGCCUGAGGAAAUAAAAUGAUAGAAAAUACCGUCUAUAGUUCAAGAUGUUAUUUCAUAAUGGCUGUGGUGUCUUUUUUUAUGGCCGAUGUUCAUUUUCCCAGAGUGACCCUAACUAACAAUACUGUGUGGUUUAACUUCGUGAUCUACAAUUUUAUAUUGAAUUCCUUAUCUUUAAAAAAAAAAAAAACAUCACAUCUCUGUGCAACGCAGAGUAUCUGUAACCGAGAUCCAGCAGAGGGAUUUGGGCAAACGUCCACAUUCUUUCAGAGCUUCAAAGAACAAUCUAUUUUACAGCAGCAGAAGCGCGGGCCAGAAAUCUUAGGGAUCUGGGUUUUUAAAACUCCUCAGAGGAGGAGAUAUGCUAGCGUCGUUCUAAUGGGGGGGAGACAGAGACGUGGAGGAGACGCGCGGGAGUACAAUCGGCUCCUUGUGUCGUAUCUUCCCCCUUUGAAAAAUAAAUACAUAAAGCUGGGCGGCCCUCUCUUUGUGUGCGAGGGGAGCAUGGCGUGGGGAGACACAGGGCCAGGGCUUUUUGAGAAGCCUCUCACGUCCUUGGAUGCCUCCAAUUAAGCACACAAUUACCUCUGUGUUAUUCUUUUCAAACAAAAGUGCCUUGUACGUUACAAUAUUAUGAUAAGCUUCCAGAUCAAACAUUUUGCUGAAUUUACGAGAUCCUAUUCUAUUUUUACUUUUUUUAUAUAUAUAUAUUUGUAUUGAUGAUUCUUUUAUCGAAAUUGGCCCACUUUGUUCCUUUUGAGUAUUAGCUUUCACUUUUCCAUCCACAUUUCAAUUUGAUAUGAUCUGAAAAACACAUUGGCCAUGAGAAUGUGAAUUUGAAAAUCCUUUUUCCCCAUUCAUAUUAUGAAAAUAUAUGACAAACUAAACUUAAAAAUGAAAAAAAUGCCUUAUUUACUCUGUAGAAAUUCUAAGAAUUUGAGCAACAAAAACACUAAAGGUAAAAAUGAUAUUUAAAUGCAAGUAUUAGACGAUAAUAGUGUGAAUAAAGGCUUAUACUUGAUUGUGUCAGCUGUGUGAGAGCUCAUUUCCGCCUGGGCUGGAUAACCUGUGACGAUGCCCAAAGCUUGCCAGUAACUUGGCUCCA